CGGGACGGGUGAGUAAUGUCUGGGAAACUGCCUGAUGGAGGGGGAUAACUGCUGGAAACGGUAGCUAAUACCGCAUAACGUCGCAAGACCAAAGAGGGGGACCUUCGGGCCUCUUGCCACCGGAUGUGCCCAGAUGGGAUUAGCUAGUAGGUGGGGUAACGGCUCACCUAGGCGACGAUCCCUAGCUGGUCUGAGAGGAUGGCCAGCCACACUGGAACUGAGACACGGUCCAG
rnacentral:rRNA from 1 species